GGAUGGAUGGGCGCAGCCUGAUCCAGCAUGCCGCGUGUGUGAAGAAGGCCUUCGGGUUGUAAAGCACUUUUGUCCGGAAAGAAAUGGCUCUGGUUAAUACCUGGGGUCGAUGACGGUACCGGAAGAAUAAGGACCGGCUAACUACGUGCCAGCAGCCGCGGUAAUACGUAGGGUCCAAGCGUUAAUCGGAAUUACUGGGCGUAAAGCGUGCGCAGGCGGUUGUGCAAGACCGAUGUGAAAUCCCCGGGCUUAACUUGGGAAUUGCAUUGGUGACUGCACGGCUAGAGUGUGUCAGAGGGGGGUAGAAUUCCACGUGUAGCAGUGAAAUGCGUAGAGAUGUGGAGGAAUACCGAUGGCGAAGGCAGCCCCCUGGGAUAACACUGACGCUCAUGCACGAAAGCGUGGGGAGCAAACAGGAUUAGAUACCCUGGUAGUCCACGCCCUAAACGAUGUCAACUAGUUGUUGGGGAUUCAUUUCCUUAGUAACGUAGCUAACGCGUGAAGUUGACCGCCUGGGGAGUACGGUCGCAAGAUUAAAACUCAAAGGAAAUUGACGGA
rnacentral:rRNA from 1 species